CAGUUUCGUUCAGCUAACAAUUUGAUUUAGUAUGUCACUUUAUUUUAUUUUUACUCCAAAUUCGAACUUUAUUUAAAUUUACCCAUAAUCAACUAUUCAUAGCACUAUGACUAUUUUUGUAGUGCUCAGCAGCGAGCAGUCGGAUACGCGAUUCUAC